CUUUGAUUGUCUUUGACUGUCCGAUUUAAGCUGCCCGAUGUCUGAUUUCAAACAGGUUCCAACUACAUACCUUGAGCUGCUGAACCCUGAAACUCCAAAAUUCCUGGUAUUUUAUAUGUGCCAAUGAACAACUGAGUUCUUUUUAUGUGAUGAAAAAACUGAAGAAAGUAAAUUCUCAGACAAAUCGUAAGAAACAUUGGAGUUUUUGUUCAAGCUUACUGCAAGCCAAGCCAAAGGAUUCUCUCUUGGGAGAAAUAUGUAUGGAAAAGAAAGAAAAAGAGUACUCAAAGGAGGAAGAAGAAGUUACAAGAAAGAAGACACAGAGGAAGGCAAAUAAACGAAAGCCUGGUUGAAGAUGGCCUGCUCCACACUGUCAACAGUGUGUUGGAAUCAGGAUGCAAAUAAGGUCUACAUGCUGUGAUUGAUUGGUAAGUCUUUUAAGUGUUUUUAUAGGUUCUCUUUCUUCUCUCUCUCUCUCUGCCCCUAGUCCCUGCAAGGUGUUUACCGAAGAAACCAUUUGGAGUCUUAUAGAAUUUCUCAAGGUCUGGACAUUAACAUGCCUUUGUGGUAUGCCUUCUUGGAAAUUGGUAGGUAGAGCUAGACACUGCUGGCUUGUUUUUAAAUUACAUUUGUAGCUUACUUUAGCACUAUUUCUGUUAUGAAAUGUUACUAUUUCUCCAAAUAAGUUGCACUUGUCCAAUUUUCAUGUGUUUCAAAGGGUACAACAUUCUUUUAAGGUAAGAAAUAGCUUUAUUCCAAAAGGGCUUACCACCUUAAAUCAAAUUUUAAGGAAAAAAAAAUUAUUAUUUUAGAACAAAAAAACCAAUGAUAAUGUUUUGGCACAAAAGUUAUAUUCACAGUGAGAAUAAAAAUUGUCCCAAACCUGGUCUAGGGCAGAACUUUUUUGCAUGAUAUAAUUCACAACCUCCUCUGGGAUGUAAUUGGUGUUGCUGUUAAAAUGCUUGAGCGAUUUCCUGAUAGACCUAAAUAAGAUUAAGGACUUCUGGGAAGCCAGGGUUACCCACCCAGCUGACUGGCCAGCCUAAUAAUCUUUAACCAGACAUGAUUUUUUCUUGUAUCCAGUUUAACAAUGAUUAACCAUUCACUUUUUUUAUAGAAUCCCUAAAGAGAAUAUUGAAUCGGCACACUUAAAGGUUUCAUCCCUUGUGGCCAGCUUGAAACAAAAUUUUGGCCCAAACUUAUAAUCCAUUUGUCUAAGAAGGUGUUUUAACAACAUUUAGGAAGAAAUAUUGUAAAUUUUUUUACUACGUUGUGUGGGUAAGAAAUUUCAUUGAAAGGUAUUGAAUGUAUAUACAAGAGUCCUUAAGUAUAUGGAAAAUUGGUUUCUUUGAAAGCUGUGGGCACUUUGACUAAUGGAGAGAAAUUUCUUCUUUGGAUAACAUAAUUCAAACUUAGCUGUUGUCAUGCAGUAAAAGAUCUUCCUUCAGAUUCUUUCUAUGAGCAAACUGGUGCCUUGACCAUGGGAUCCAAGUGCCCUGAGGAAACAACAUCUCUUCAUAGGUGGAAACAGGAUUAACAUCAUGAUUUAAUUAUUAUACCAAAUACAUCAUGGAUAAUCUAUGGCCUUUAAUAAACCUAACAGUUAAAGGCUGAACUGGUAAGAAAUGAACUUCAUUUCUGCAUUUAAAAAAUACAUUUAAUCCAAUGGGAAAUAAAA